GAUCAUGGCUUAGGAUGAACGCUAGCGGCAGGCUUAACACAUGCAAGUCGAGGGGCAGCGCGGGGCGGCAACGUCCUGGCGGCGACCGGCGGAAGGGUGCGUAACGCGUGAGCGACAUGCCCGUUGCCCGGGGACAACCGGUGGAAACGCCGACUAAUCCCCGAUGGGACGGAGGCCCUCAUGGGUCUCUGUUGAAAGUUACGGCGGCGACGGAUUGGCUCGCGUCCUAUUAGCUAGUUGGCGGGGUAACGGCCCACCAAGG
rnacentral:rRNA from 1 species